AUGGCCGGCCAUCGCAGCUCCUCCUCUCGCUACCGUAGCCCUAAGCCCGGCAAUUGGAAGAAGUGUUCCGUCCCCCACAGCCAAUUAGUAGAGUUACAGACCCAGGGAUUUCUCCCUCCAGCGUAUAUGGUCCCCGUUCGAGCCGGGCUCGCCACCUACAAUGGCGGGGAGCAAGCAGAGAGCUUUCCAAACCCAUCCAUGGGGGAGCGGGUAUGCCUUGUCCCUUACUUAUUAAGAGGGCUUGGAUUUCCAAUUCAUCCGUUCCUCCGCGGGCUCCUGGAUUUCUACGACCUCCAGCUGCAUAAUUUUACUCCCGCCUCCAUAUUACACAUCGCUGGCUAUGUCGCCCUUUGUGAGCUGUUUCGGGGCUGCGAAGCUCAUUUGAGCUAUGGAAGAGGCUAUUCUGCCUCGUACCCCGUACACAGGAGGGGUCAAUAUACCAAGUGGGCGGAGCCGAAAUAUGGCGCAUCGCCGGGACCGGAUACCUGUCCGGUACUCCGAAGAAGACAUCCGAGGACUGGCCUUCGAAGUGGUUUUAUAUGGAGGACUACCCCCUUCCGGACCCUAUUCGGAUGGGCCUUCCUGAGUUCGACAACGCUCCCUUGA
rnacentral:rRNA from 1 species